GUCCGCACAGUAAACGAUGGAUGCCCGCGGUCUGUGAUUUUUCAUGGGCCGCCAAGCGAAAGCGUUAAGCAUCCCACCUGGGGAGUACGCCGGCAACGGUGAAACUCAAAGGAAUUGACGGGGGCCCGCACAAGCGGAGGAACAUGUGGUUUAAUUCGAUGAUACGCGAGGAACCUUACCCGGGCUUGAAAUGUCCGCCGCGGAGACCAGAGACGGUCUCCUCCUUCGGGGGCGGAUGUAGGUGCUGCAUGGUUGUCGU
rnacentral:rRNA from 1 species